GAUAAGUGAGAGAGAAAAGGGAGAAGGAAUGAAAAAUAAAAGAAGCAAGAAUGGAAGGAAGGGAAUAAAAAAACGCAGUAAACAAUGACGCAAUACGAAAACCUGAGCGAAAGGGGGGAAAUGAAGUAUAGGAAAAAGGGAGGAAGGAAAGAAGAGAGGAAGGAACCGAGGGAGGAAUGAAGAAAGAGAGCGAACUAACUCAUUUUCACGUCCUGUUUCUGCUCUGUGCAGGCUCGCUGUGCCGCGCGAGGGUUGUUAGUAAACUAGGCUUUACGUGGUAACCCUCAUCACACGCGGCAACAUUCUUCCACACUGUGAGAUUUAACGUUACCGGCGGUCCGUCCCGCGCCUGACACGCAGCGCUUCUUUAAGCCAACACCAGACAAGCACUCAGCGGGGCAUCACAGGCACCGAGUCCGCCGACGGGCACCCAAGGGGAGUCGAAAGACGCGCACAGCACCUACAGUACGGCACAUACCGAACGAGGACCAUGGAGACCGCAGGCAACGGCUCGGACGCGAAUUACCGGAGCCAGCUCCCCGUGCUUUUCAACAACAGCAGCUUCUGUGGAAACUUCACCGACGACAACACCACGAGCUUCGCGGAGGCGCGAUGCGACGGGGAUCGGGGACUGACCAACAGCCUGGAAGACGACACCAACCCGGUUAUCAUAGCGAUUGUCAUCACCGCUCUCUACUCCAUAGUGUGCGUGGUGGGGCUAGUUGGAAACGUGCUGGUCAUGUAUAUCAUCGUCAGAUACACUAAAAUGAAGACUGCCACCAACAUCUACAUCUUCAACCUCGCUCUGGCCGACGCCUUGGUCACCAGCACGCUACCAUUCCAGAGCGUCAACUACCUGAUGGGGACCUGGCCGUUUGGAGACAUACUGUGCAAGAUGGUGAUGUCCAUUGACUACUACAACAUGUUCACCUCUAUCUUUACGCUCACCACCAUGAGCAUUGAUCGCUACGUUGCUGUGUGCCACCCAGUCAAAGCGCUGGACUUCAGGACACCGCGUAACGCCAAGAUCGUCAACGUCUGCAACUGGAUUCUCUCCUCGGCCAUCGGGCUGCCUGUAAUGUUUAUGGCCUCCACAGUCCUCUCUCCCUCCAGUAUUGUUGACUGCAAGCUGAUAUUCCCCCACCCUUCCUGGUACUGGGAAACGCUGCUGAAGAUCUGCGUGUUCAUCUUUGCCUUCAUCAUGCCCGUCCUCAUCAUCACCGUCUGCUACGGCCUCAUGAUCCUCCGACUGAAGAGUGUGCGCAUGCUGUCGGGCUCCCAGGAGAAGGACAGAAACCUGCGUCGGAUCACCCGCAUGGUCCUGGUGGUGGUUGCCGUCUUCAUCGUAUGCUGGACACCCAUCCACAUCUUUGUCAUCAUCACAGCUCUGAUCAAUAUCCCCAGCUCCACGCUGCAGACUAUCACCUGGCACUUCUGCAUUGCCCUGGGCUACACCAACAGUAGUCUGAACCCGGUUCUUUAUGGCUACCUCGAUGAGAACUUCAAGCGUUGUUUCCGUGAGUUUUGCACCCCGAGUCCCUCAGUGUUGGAGAUGCAGAACUCGUCCCGAACCGGAGUCACAAGCCGCAAGCUCCCACAGCGCGAACACAACACUGCAAACACAGGAGAAAGGUCCAAUCAACAGGUAUGACUAGCCUUGGAGGGGUCGUCAGACUCUCGCUCUUGUGGGGGCGUUGCCAACGACGAUCUCAACUCAGAGGUCACGCAGGUCACCACAGGGCUCUGACCAUGCAAACACAAAGUGACACGUACAUCAGACAAUCUAGGACACGAGCUCUGUGGCUCCCUCACCACAUGAAGACAUCACUGGACAGCAGGUGACAGAAAUGUUAUUUACAGCACCAAAUGUGCUUCUUGUCCAGCUUCUGUAUGGAUUUCACCCUAUUAACACUGUUUUUCACUGAUUGAUCUGCACAGCACCAUGCUGGUUUUGGUCACUUCAGGAAGACUCCCCUCUCAACCCACCUGACUCUUUGUUGUAAUUCCCUGCCCCAUCUGUCUUCAUUAUUUCUUUUUAUUCUUCUGUUUUUAUGUUGUCUCUGUAAAUAUGUUUUCUACCCUUCGCUGAAUUUAUCAUUAAAUAGACAUACAAUAGAGCACUGUAUGUUCUCUCUGCCGAAUUUGACACACUUCUGAAUGUACAGAAGGUAAACCCGCUGUGUUACUCACACUGGAUCCGUACUAAACUUGGAUCAUCUAAACCAGUAAACACAACGUCCGUUUGCACAGCACACAUAUUGUGCUAUUGUGACAUACAAUGUGAACACAUGGUACUACCAGUGAAUGAUUAACUACAGCUUAACAGCCAUUACACCAGGCAUGGGUUCUGAAGAAGUUAACAAGUGAGCCAAGCAGGAUUGUACAUAUGUUGUAAUCUUUAGAAUUGCUUGUGCUUACAUGUUGUGCUGUAUGCUAAACUUGCCAGUUGCCUUUACAGUAGCUCUACUUGAUAUUAUGUGUACCAGUAUUUUUUUUUUUUUUUAACGAUCUGUAAAGAUGAACAUGAUUGUAUUUAUCUCCCAUGUAAAAUACUAUAACUACUCUGUUCCUGAAAAUUAUUUCUGAUGAUCAUAGUGGACAAGCAAGUUAUUGUGCUUCUAAAUAUAACUUGUCAUAUUGAAUCUCAGUUAACUGAAGUGAUGUAUAUUAAUCAGAAAACAAUGUGCGUGAAAACCUUGUGAAUUUGAAAAUGGAAAAUGUAUGCAGAAUUUAACUUUAUAGACUGUUUCAUGUUUUUGUUUGCCUUCAAUCAAUUUUGAAAGAUUGUACAGUAGACUACUAUUAUUUUCAGUCUUUCACACCCCCAGCUAACACAACA